AGCAGUAUUGAACUGAAGAGUUUGAUCAUGGCUCAGAUUGAACGCUGGCGGCAGGCCUAACACAUGCAAGUCGAGCGGAUGAAGGGAGCUUGCUCCUGGAUUCAGCGGCGGACGGGUGAGUAAUGCCUAGGAAUCUGCCUGGUAGUGGGGGAUAACGUCCGGAAACGGGCGCUAAUACCGCAUACGUCCUGAGGGAGAAAGUGGG
rnacentral:rRNA from 1 species